UCCGUGGUCCUCCUUACUUUUUGGCAUGCUGUAUAUAGUCCGGACUGAAACUAUAUUCAGGAGUCGUCUAAAAUAUCACCCUAUACCCUAUUUUUUUUUUACCAGGACCCAUAGUUAUAUUGUCAAAAGGCUCUGGUUAAUAGUAGUGCACUAAAUAGGGAAUAGGGUGCCAUUUAGGACUUAUUUGAUGACAUGACGAUUGCUAGUAAUUCCACUAUUAACAACAACAAACGAACAUGCUCCUCUGAAACCAAACCUUUUCUUGAGGUUUAAUUGAACAUUUUGGUACAUUAUGCAGACACGUAAAUACAAUGUGAUAUCAUACAAUAUAAACACAAUUCAAUUAUAAGAUCAGCCUAACUACAUGGACAGAUGUUUGGUGUCGUGUAGUAUUUCUUCAACUUAGAGAAAAUAAUCCUUUAUUGUUUAUUCAUAAAGAUCAUGAUCCCACCCUGGACCAGGAGGACCCAGUCCUUGUUCAGCCUGUCAAACUGCAGCCAAGGUAUUACCUUACCCAUGCUGGGAACAUGCUGGUGAGAGAGCUGUCAGUAUUAAAUACACAGAUUUUCAUGAUGGAGCAGCCUACUUUCAUCUGUUUCACUCCUGUAGGGAGGAUGGUAUGGGAGGAACUGUCUUCUCAAACUGAACAGCCAAAUAGUGAAGACUCUGGUUUUCCCUAUGAGAAGAUGCAGCUGGUUGGGAACUGGGGUUCGUUUCAUUUCCAUACCUGGAUAAUCCGUUAUGGACGAGUGCAGCAAAAUGAAGAGGACAUGCAUCACCUGUGCAUUGUGAGGGGAGUGGAGAAACAGCUGUGGUGGAGCAGAGUCAUUCAGGAAAGAAUCCUGGACCCAUGGGUGAGAGAUUCUCAACUGAUCUUUCAUCUCAAAUGCACCUGAUUUGUGUCAAAUGACACACAGAAUAUAGAGCUACUUAUAUUUCCUGAAUGAAAUGUAAUUUUCCCCUGUGUCUCUUUGAAAGGGUAUUGUCCAGGUGGUCCUCACCAACAAGGAGGUCACUGGUAUUAAAGUACAGUCAAACACUUUCAUAAAACAAAUGGAAAGUGGCAAAUGUCCAUUUACCUAUUUAAAUAAAUGUUGACAAAAUGAAAUGAUAGAUUUGAAUUUCUAUCCUCAUUUUUAGUUCCUUGGUAGAAGGAUCCAUGGACUCAGGUCUUGCCUCGUCAAGAGGAGGUCAGAGUUCACAUAUUAUGAGGACGCCCAUCAGGUGGAUAUCUCCACCACAGUGGAGGGGUUCCAGGAGAGGGGGGAUGACAUGAUGGUGUAUCAGUUCUCUACCUCUGAAAUUAUCACCACCCCUCAUGAGCCGUCCUCUGGCUCCUCUCACCAGUUCCCUCAGGAUUCUCCACCUCCCCCUCCGCCUCCCCCGUUCCCUUCCGAUUCCCCUCCACCUUACCACUUCACCCAGGACCAGGC